rnacentral:rRNA from 1 species
GACGAACGCUGGCGGCGUGCUUAACACAUGCAAGUCGAACGAUGAAGCCCAGCUUGCUGGGUGGAUUAGUGGCGAACGGGUGAGUAACACGUGAGUAACCUGCCCUGGACUCUGGGAUAACCCCGAGAAAUCGGAGCUAAUACCGGAUAGGACCUUUCCUCGCAUGAGGUUUGGUGGAAAGUUUUUCGGUUUGGGAUGGACUCGCGGCCUAUCAGCUUGUUGGUGAGGUAAUGGCUCACCAAGGCGUCGACGGGUAGCCGGCCUGAGAGGGUGACCGGCCACACUGGGACUGAGACACGGCCCAGACUCCUACGGGAGGCAGCAGUGGGGAAUAUUGCACAAUGGGCGCAAGCCUGAUGCAGCAACGCCGCGUGCGGGAUGACGGCCUUCGGGUUGUAAACCGCUUUUAGUAGGGAAGAAGCCUUCGGGUGACGGUACCUGCAGAAAAAGGACCGGCUAACUACGUGCCAGCCGCCGCGGUAACAC